rnacentral:tRNA from 1 species
CAGGGCGCAGUUUAGGCAGAAUCUUG